AGAUAUCUUAGCUGCAAGGAAAGAUCCAAGUGGUUUAUCUGGAGAUGUCUGGGUACAUGGAGUACCUGAGGAUUCCAAUUUCCCACAUAAUACAGGUUAUGUGGUACAGGAUGAUGUUGUGACAGACACCCUGUCAGUGAGAGAAAAUAUAUGGUUCUCAGCGGCUCUUCGGCUUCCAACAACUAUGUCAAAACAGGAAAAAAAUGAGAGGAUCAACAAGGUCAUUAAAGAAUUAGAUCUGGAGGAAGUGGCAGAUUCCAAGGUAAAAUCUAAAGGAGAAAGAAAAAGGACUAGUAUAGGAAUGGAGCUGAUCCUUGAUCCUCUCAUCUUGUUCCUGGAUAAGCCCACAACUGGGUUAGAUGGGAGAACAGCUAAUGAUGUCAUCAGACUCCUA